GCCCGGGUGGCGGAAUUGGCAGACGCGCUAGGUUGAGGGCCUAGUGAGGUUUAUACCUCGUGCUGGUUCGAAUCCAGUCCCGGGCA
rnacentral:tRNA from 1 species